GAAGCUAAAAGGAAAAACAACUUUCCUAAGCUCACUCAAAGAAUGAGUGGCAAAGCCAGCAACCGUUGACUCGUCGAUGCCUCAGGUGACUCAGAUUCCCUGUGUAGCCACUUCUGUAAGGAGAAUUCCUUCCAAGCCUUGUGACCACGUUCUUCUGGUCCUUGAAAUCCAAAUGCAACCUUCCCGUGGAUCUCCAGGAAGCCUCUUUAAAGACUGCUGAUUCAACCAGGAAGUGUGCCUGUGUUGUUUCUACUCCUCCUUCCUGCUGCCUGGGAUUGAAAUGUAAUAUCUGGAACUUCAGCCAUCCUGGGCCAUAAAUGUGGAAGCCAAGCCCUGAGGUUGGUGGAGAAGAAAGGGAGCAGGAAUCUUAGUCCCUGUUUGAUUUUAUGUCAGUCAUAGAUCACCUCCCCAAAGACAUCUUUUAUGUGGCAGAUUAACUUUUUUUGUGUUUAAGCCUCCAUUGUUUUGGGCUUUCCAUUAUAUGUGGUUGCAUCUAAUCCCAGCUGAUCCAGGUGGUCCCUGUUCUCAAGGAGCUUCAUGCUUGUGGGUGCUGUGUAGCCUGGCACAUUCAGUGCAUGCACGUGGUCCCUACCACAGAGUGUGUCGCUCUCCGGUCAGGGUCUCCAAGGACCGGACCUAACUGCAAGGGGACUGACUGCAAGGGCUCAGCAGGUGUCCCGGUGGUUAGGAUACCAGGCUUCCCUAGUAGCCACGAGAGGGUCACAGGAUGUUAAUGGUGACCCGGUUUAGUUCCUACUUCACCACCUGCCUUUCUCCAUUUUGGGCCCAAGUUCAUUAUCUGGCACAUGUGAAAUGGAGAAUUCGAACAAUCACCAGCAGUUUCUGGGACCUGGAAGAAAACCUUGGACCACCGAAUCCACAAGUCUGCUUGAAGCACGAAGUGUAGACAAGACUACAUGGGUGAUGAUCUCUCUGACUUCGUAUGGUCGAGAUUUCAGCUGCGGAAUGCAGCCUCACAAGCUGGGUUCAGGCAUGGCUCUUUGAAUCUGAGUGUUCUCUAUGCAUACACACAGGACUUUUUAAUUAGAUAAGCCAGUCUCAACUGAAGUUGACCAUGGAUCCCAGCUCAUAAUUCCAACUAAGCUCAUGGUGGGUUUAAAUUUACAAUGCACGGCACUGUUUUGGAAUAUAAAGUUCUAUAGAUUUUAACACAUGCACUGAAUCUGGCAACUACCACCAACAAACAACACAGAACAAUUCCAACACCUCAAUGAAUUUCCUUAUGCUACCUGAUGUUGCUGUGUCAGAUAUUCUCAGAACACACAGAUCCAACUACAGCAUGACGCCCUAGGAAAUGGAGUCUGUUCCUUCAGGACGAUGCAUUGGCCAAAGCAGAAACAUGUUCUCUUGACAAUGCCUGUGGUUCAUACCUUUCCUGUGGUGAGAGUUAAUUGUUGGGGUUUAAGUUUUUGGUCUCCUGAUUUUUUGCCAAAGAAGAAAAAGAAUUCUGAAAUCUUUUGUCCUAUUUUAGAGUGACAAAAAUCCUCAGAGAUCACCCAUUCUUUCUUGGUACCAUAAAACCUUUCUGCCAAAUUCAAGGGAGGGAAAGAAAUUCUUUUGAUAUGAUAAAAUUCUUUUGAUGAGACUCUGUGGCUUUUAAAAUAAGCCCAAAUAACUUAUUCAUUCAUGUCCUAGGCAGUACACUAGACACUGUCAUAGAAUAUACACAAAUAUACAAUGGGCCAGAUUUUAGAUGACUUCUGAGGGGUCACCAAUAGCGAACAGAUUCUAAUCCCAAAUAAAUAAUAUUACCAAUGGUCAAAGUAAGAAACGGAUUCA